UACGUAGGUGGCAAGCGUUGUCCGGAUUUACUGGGUGUAAAGGGCGCGUAGGCGGAUGAGCAAGUCAGAUGUGAAAUACCGAGGCUUAACUUCGGGGCUGCAUUUGAAACUGUUCAUCUUGAGUAUCGGAGAGGCAGGCGGAAUUCCUAGUGUAGCGGUGAAAUGCGUAGAUAUUAGGAGGAACACCAGUGGCGAAGGCGGCCUGCUGGACGACAACUGACGCUGAGGCGCGAAAGCGUGGGGAGCGAAC
rnacentral:rRNA from 1 species